GAUGAACGCUGGCGGCGUGCCUAAUACAUGCAAGUCGAGCGAACAGACGAGGAGCUUGCUCCUCUGACGUUAGCGGCGGACGGGUGAGUAACACGUGGAUAACCUACCUAUAAGACUGGGAUAACUUCGGGAAACCGGAGCUAAUACCGGAUAAUAUAUUGAACCGCAUGGUUCAAUAGUGAAAGACGGUUUUGCUGUCACUUAUGGAUGGAUCCGCGCCGCAUUAGCUAGUUGGUAAGGUAACGGCUUACCAAGGCAACGAUGCGUAGCCGGCCUGAGAGGGUGAGCGGGCAAAUGGGGACGGAGAUACGGCCCAGACUGCUAUGGGAGACAGCUGUCGGGAAUAUUGAAAAAUUGGCUGAAGGCGGAGGCAGCAACGCCGAGUAAGGGAGGACGGCCUACGGGUAGGAAACCGCGUUCGCCUGUGACGAAGCGUGAGUGAAGGGAAUGGGUAAAGAAGCACCGGCUAACUAAGUG
rnacentral:rRNA from 1 species